rnacentral:lncRNA from 1 species
GGAUUAACACAGUGGCUGAACACCGGGAAGGAACUGGCACUUGGAGUCCGGACAUCUGAAACUUGGACUGUGAAUGCAGCCCAUGAAAAAGAGGGUUUUCGGAAGCUUGACAUUUAUGAGGGUGAGGAGUUGACAAGCCGACAUCAGUCUCCAGAGUGAAUCCAAGGAGUGGACCCAAGACAUUUGUGUUCUGUGAUGUGGUGGCAUGUUACCUGUCAUCUCUGAUGCAUAACUCCUAAAGUGUUUGCGUCUGGGGCAGUUGUACAGAUUGCAAAGGAUAAUACUCAAGAUGUCCUCCAAGGCCAACUACUCAUCAGUUUAUUCAUGUUUCUGGGACUGGAUUCAUGAAUUCAUCCUUUCAACUAUUUCAACAAGCUUUUUCAUGUAACUAAUCUGUGGAAGGUAGAAAGGGGAAAACUGUUGGGUGCUAAAAUGACAACUGGUUCAAGGUACAAUGGCGAAUAUUUUUAUUUCUGCAACUUUUCUUAGAGGUUGGAAACUAGACUGGGCAGGAAGAUUCCUUUUUGUAAGAUUAGUCUCCAGUUUUCAUCAAGCAGUUUAGUGGGGUAUUUUAGGCCCAGUUCCCUCUCCACAGUCCCCAAAGGUCUUCUGUUAACUUUAAAUCAGCAAAGAGAGAGAUCUCUGCCAAGUAGCAACUGCAAGAGCAUGUGGGUCAAAGUUACCAGCAGACACUCAAAGCCCAUUCCCUUUACUUCAACACCGCUUUAUAAAUUAUUUUAGAGACGUUGUCAGGUUGGUAUCAGAGGUGAGUGGUCAUGACUUCAUGAUUUCUCAUCUUUCUGAAUGCAUAGUGGCUGGGAGUGGUGGCUCAUGCCUGUAAUCCCAGCACUUUGGGAGGCC